rnacentral:rRNA from 1 species
UACACUCCUACGGGAGGCAGCAGUGGGGAAUUUUGGACAAUGGGCGAAAGCCUGAUCCAGCAAUGCCGCGUGAGUGAAGAAGGCCUUCGGGUUGUAAAGCUCUUUUGUCAGGGAAGAAACGGUGAGAGCUAAUAUCUCUUGCUAAUGACGGUACCUGAAGAAUAAGCACCGGCUAACUACGUGCCAGCAGCCGCGGUAAUACGUAGGGUGCAAGCGUUAAUCGGAAUUACUGGGCGUAAAGCGUGCGCAGGCGGUUUUGUAAGUCUGAUGUGAAAUCCCCGGGCUCAACCUGGGAAUUGCAUUGGAGACUGCAAGGCUAGAAUCUGGCAGAGGGGGGUAGAAUUCCACGUGUAGCAGUGAAAUGCGUAGAUAUGUGGAGGAACACCGAUGGCGAAGGCAGCCCCCUGGGUCAAGAUUGACGCUCAUGCACGAAAGCGUGGGGAGCAAACAGGAUUAGAAACCCCUGUAGUCCCAUG